UACGUAGGGUGCAAGCGUUGUCCGGAAUUAUUGGGCGUAAAGGGUGCGUAGGCGGGUCUUUAAGUCAGGGGUGAAAUCCUGGAGCUCAACUCCAGAACUGCCUUUGAUACUGAGGAUCUUGAGUUCGGGAGAGGUGAGUGGAACUGCGAGUGUAGAGGUGAAAUUCGUAGAUAUUCGCAAGAACACCAGUGGCGAAGGCGGCUCACUGGCCCGAUACUGACGCUGAGGCACGAAAGCGUGGGGAGCAAACAGG
rnacentral:rRNA from 1 species